GGAAAAUAGCCACUGCAGAGCCCCAGGGCCUCUUGGGUGGUAGUGGCAUUGCUUAAAUGCUCACGUGCUGGGGUUUCUGUCUUGCCUUUUAUUUGGAGGGAGACACUCAUGUAAAGACAUUGAGACACAUGAAAAAGGGUCAGAAGUUCAGAAGGAAUUGUUGAGGAAGACAAGGUCUCCAUCCCAGCUGCUCUAGUAUGGAGACUGAAGAAACAGGUUAAGACAAGGUCACAAGAUGCAGUAACAGAACAAGGAGGAGGAACAAAAGCAACAAGGCGCGCUCAUUCAGAACGGGAGGUUCCCAUCAUGCCACGCUGAUGUAAACGCCGGGAGCAAACUGAUUGGCUGCCUCGGAACUGGCCAUGCUCCCUUCACACAUGGAGCAGCAAUCAAGAGACUAAACCACAGCAGACCCUGAGCUGUCUCCACAAAGGCAACCAUAGGCAGCAUUCAAGAGCUGACAAAGCAUCCUGAAAGAUGGAAGAAAGGAGCCCCUGUGGCUGCUGGGGGGAGGCUUCCGAGUUUUCUAGCCAGCCUGCGCAUUGUGCAGACCACUGAGGGAGCAUUGCUGAUGCAAUUCCAUCCCAAGCUCACGUUUGGAAGAAGCUGCCUGUUCACGAACAGGAAGGGAAGAGGAGAGUGUCACCGUAAGAACAAACAA